ensembl:lncRNA
AUUUAAAACAGAGAUUACCUCCUGAGCAGUAUUCCAAGAGAGGUUUGCAUCCCAUUCUUUAGGCAAGGAGAAAGGUGGGUGCCUUAUUCUGCAGUGUAGGUUUCUUACUCUGUGCAGUGACUGCAUGUUCUGUAGAGAUGUAAUAGUAAGUAGCAAUUUGCCGUUCCAUGAAGACAGUGCAGUAUCAGUCCUUUGAGAUGCCAUUCAGACUAUUGAGUCCCGUGUGCUCUUUCCAGAACUGAUGUAUUCAGGAGGCUCUAAAUCCUGCAUUAUUAAAAAAUGUUUGGCAAUAAAGUGAAAUGCCAAAUGGAAAAGACACAUAUACAUUUUUUUUUUUUCUCCUCUGUUGUUCUCCUCUUACUUUUUUCCAGAAAAGUAAGACCAUGCAAUUCCAUGACUGUAUUUUGGAUAGAGAACAGUGUCUUGAUUUAUUGUUGAGCACAUGUAUUACAGAAUUUCUUCUUCUUGGGUUGUGUCGCAUAAUGAUUUGUUUCUGUAUUAGACUUAAAAUACUACAGAUUCUGCAGGACGAGUGUUCAAGAGAGAAAAGUAUUAAAACAACACAUGCUUCAUGAAGACCAAGACAAGGAAUAAACAGACAGUGCUAGAGCCAAGAAAAGAAGUAGUUACCGUGCAAAAAUUUAGGUGACAUACAAAUACACUAAUAAUUCAAAAAGCUUUCUCACAGCCAACAUACAACUUCAACUGCUGGCUGUCUCCCUGCUCUUAUGAUCUUUCCAAUCCUCAUUGACCACAAGGGAAUUAGUUGGCCAGUUUCUAAAGAGAAAUCCAGGUGUUAGGCCUUCCUUGCUCCUACACCACCAAACAUCAGGAUCCAGAAGCAUUCUCAAUUCAGUGUCAAUGACAGGAUCUGAGCCCUGGAAAAUGCAAUUAUGGCCACUUUUCUUUACAGAAGAUGUAAGAGUGCUCUUAGUGCACACUAUAGACACUGUGGACAAAGAUUUCAGCAUUCACCUCACAGCUCCUCUAUCAGAUUGGAACAUGCUUCCACCUCUUUACAGCAAAGUCUCUUAGACACGUGACUAUAGAAUCUUCCAUAAUGAGAACCCUUUAGCUCUGUUGCUCUUCGCUACACAGAAAAGAGGUCAAAAUUCAAGAGAUUCUAAGUAUCUUGCAGGAUUUCUUGCCCUGGGAUGUUCCAAAGACCAGUGCCUUCUUCAAGAAUACUUACUUCAUUGUAUCAUCUAUCACUAUGGCACUAUGUGACACCAGGAGAGAUACUGCAACUGCUGUUUCAAUACCAAGAAAUCAUGUCAAAAUGAACAAACAAAUCAAAUGAAAAGGUUCUCCAGUGGUUCUUGUACCAAAAGAAGAGCCCUAUCCUUGCUCAGGUUUUGGAAGAUGAGAAGUGAGCAGUAUGAACUUGAAGAAUGAGCUUGAUCAGAGAGAGGCAUUUGCCUGUGAGCCAGAACCAGGCUCCUGCCAUCUGCACCCAGCGCAGCAUUGAUGCCAAGUGGAGGCUGUUUCCCUGUCCCUGGCUGAAGUCAUUGCAUUGAAGGGCCUAAAACUUCUGGGCACUCUAUAGGCAAUUGAUGGACAUGAUAUAAAUACUCUGUGUGAUUUAGGCUGCAUUAUGCCAAUUAUGUUAAUUCAUGGUCUGAUUUUCAGGAUCAAAACUGCAUAUGUCCUUCCAGUAAGGCUGUCUGUAAGGUCUAAUUCCAGGUUUUGAACCUUUCUCCAGAUGACUAGGGUCAUAAAUACAUAGCAUCAAGUUUCUAAUUCUACAAUAUUAAGUUCCUAAUACACUGCAAAGCUCUUGAAAAUGUUGUCUGUGGGUUUUGCUUAAUAUGUGAGACCUAUUUGAAAAUGCUGGCAAUAUGUUUACGCUUGAAUUACAUUCUCCUUCAUGAGUUGUGCAAUUUGAGUUGCCUGAGCGUCUUCUUUCUUUCUUUAAUAAACCUGUUUUAUUGAAAUGAAGAUCAUGAAAUAGGAAGGGAGGCUCAAAAGAUAUUUAAAAGUGAC